AUAAUAAAUUUUUUCGGGGAAUACCCUAACAGUCUGACAAAGAAAAAUUUAGUUAAUCAUUUUUUAUGUUUGUUUUCUCAAAGUUCCAGUCAUAACUAGACAGAGAUGUCCAGAGGUGGAUACACCCGUCACGGGAAAUGCAAGAGGUAAUAAGGGAACAACUCAUGAACUCACAACUUCAUACGUCAUGUAAAUCUCUACUAACGAGACUAACAAUAUGAGUGCAAACCUGGUCGAAGAAGUAAACCGGAGGUCGAAGGGGCAUGCAGAUGACCAUGGGCAUCCACUGGGAGCCAGAGGAGAAGUACGACCUGCUCUUCAGUUUGUCCAUGAAGUCGAUCCCAAAAAUGACAUUUGUUGUGACUGUGGUGGCGUACUAGAAGAAAGUAUGCAGACUGUUUGCGGACAUAGAGUGUGUGAAAGACACAUAGAUGAUAAGCUACAAAAAGGAAAAAUAUACAUUUGUCCAGGUGGAGAUAAAGAUUGUGUUGAAGUGAAUAAGGAGAACAAGCACUUAUUGACUUUUCCUGAUCAUUUUUCAAGGAAACACAUCUCGACGUUGCUAGUGUAUUGCUCAAAUAAGGAACAAGGCUGCCCAGAACAAAUAGCUUUGAAAGAUUUACAGGAUCACAAUACAAAAUGUGACUAUACGAGGGUUAAAUGUAAAAAUGCAGGAUGUGAUGAGCUUAUCUUUGCUAAAAGUAUGGAGGAACAUAUCAAAGACGAGUGUGUCUUCAGAAUCGAAAUAUGUCAAAAAUGUAAUGAGCCAACACCUCAUGCACUUAUUAGCGAUCAUUUAUCGAACCAUUGUUGUGAAGAAUUGAUAACGUGUCCUUAUAAAUGUGGCGUCGAGUUCAAAAGGAAGGAUAUUGAAUCUCAUGAGACAUCGUGUACUUCUAAACCUAACACUUGUGAAUUAAGAUCCUUGGGAUGUGACUUUAAGGGCUCUCGGGCAGAUCUCGAAAAACACGAAUCUCUUAGUAACAGAGAACAUCUAGGAUUGUUUGCCAUCAAAUUAGAGAACCACUCUCUCGAAUCAAAGACACUAGAGAAACGUAUUGAACAAAUGAAAAACGAAAAAGAGAUAUAUGAAAAGGAAAUGAAGGACCUGGCUCAUAAGAUGGGAAAACUAGUAAAUCAAUACAGCGAUAUGAAUUCUAAAGUACAGAAUAUUCAGAAAGCAAUGGCAAAUCAUUGUGAAAAGGUUAUAUCAUUGGAGGAUAAAUAUACAUCAUUUAAGUCUGAAACUGAAUCACUUCGGGUGGACUCUAUGACCAAUAUGGAACAAAGACUACUAGUUUUAGAGAACAAAGACGAAAGGAGACCUCACUCGCCUGGUAGGGAAGGAAGAGCCUCUAAAGAUGUCGUAGAUAACUUGAAAACGCAAACAAGACAAUUGGACAGAAUGGUGGGCCUCCAUGAUGUACGUCUAGCGGAAGUUGAUCUCAGAUUGGACUGCAAUGAUAUUACAUCAUAUGAUGGACACAUAAUUUGGAAGAUAACAGGAAUU
rnacentral:misc_RNA from 1 species